rnacentral:rRNA from 1 species
UACGUAGGGGGCAAGCGUUGUCCGGAUUUACUGGGCGUAAAGAGCGUGUAGGCGGCCAAACAGGUCCGUUGUGAAAACUGGAGGCUCAACCUCCAGACGUCGACGGAAACCGUGUGGCUAGAGUCCGGUAGGGGAGCAUGGAAUUCCUGGUGUAGCGGUGAAAUGCGCAGAUAUCAGGAGGAACACCAGUGGCGAAGGCGGUGCUCUGGGCCGGAACUGACGCUGAUGAGCGAAAGCGUGGGGAGCAAACAGG